rnacentral:lncRNA from 1 species
UACUUUUAGUAGAGACGGGGUUUCACCGUGUUAGCCAGGAUUGUCUGGAUCUCCUGACCUCGUAAUCCACCCACCUGGCCUCCCAAAGUGCUAGGAUUACAGGUGUGAGCCACGGCGCCCUGAGGACUGGCAGACCCAUCUGACUUUCUUGGAGUAGAGGAGGAAGAGGAGGAAGAAGAGGUGCAGGAGGAAGACCAGGGUGUGGCUGACAUCUAGCUGGAUGCAGUGGAUGAUUCUGGAGGACCUCUUGCCCUUCUCCUUCAUGACCUGUAGGGCAGGGCCAAGAGGAGGAAGCAGCCUCAGAACAGACAAAAGACUCCCUGCCCCAAACGGCAGUCAUCCCACAGUCAGCACUUCUGGAAGGAAGGAAGGAAGGUUUCCUUCUGCAGAAAGCUCCUUUUUACCUUGUUUCUGACACCAGGGAGGGUCAGCAGAGCCCAGCGCACCUGUGGUGCCUGAGUUACCAUCUAUGCCCAGGAUGUGCGUGUUGAUUGAGCCAGCGGGAAGCAGAAUCUCUGGAGGGCCAUGCAGAGCCUUGGGGACUGACCAAGUUCCCCCACUGAGGGGUCCCAGGCUGGACCGACAGGAGAGCCUGGGAGGAGUUCUGACCCUGGAGAGGAGGUUGGCCCAGCCAGGGAGACAUGUCCUGCUUCAGAGAGGCCUUUCUAAAAACAAAACCCAUCCCUGAGGUUAUACGGGUCCCCAUCCAUCUCCAUCCUGCAAGACAAAGUCAUCCCAAGGCUCUCCCGCACCCAAGAGCUCCAGAGAACAGCCAAACCACACGCACUGCACUCCCAGACACACUCCAGUCUGGUGAGCCCCAUUCCACUACCCCUCCCAGAUGACAGGGGCCAGACUCAGUGGUCCCACCCCUGACUAGAUCUCUGAAGUCCUUGCCUCCAACCAGUGGUGGGCUCCUUCCUGAGGAUUUGAGCACACGGGAACCUGGACAGAGAGGCCUAUUGUCCCUGAACACCCCAAGGCAGACACACACCUGCCCUGGCAGGACAAACGGCGUCCACUUGCUGAGGGUGAAGUCCC